CGCCAGACUCCUACGGGAGGCAGCGGUGGGGAAUAUUGCACAAUGGGGGAAACCCUGAUGCAGCGACGCCGCGUGAGUGAAGAAGUAUUUCGGUAUGUAAAGCUCUAUCAGCAGGGAAGAAAAUGACGGUACCUGACUAAGAAGCCCCGGCUAACUACGUGCCAGCAGCCGCGGUAAUACGUAGGGGGCAAGCGUUAUCCGGAUUUACUGGGUGUAAAGGGAGCGUAGACGGCAUGGCAAGUCAGAUGUGAAAGCCCGGGGCUCAACCCCGGGACUGCAUUUGAAACUGUCAGGCUGGAGUGCAGGAGAGGUAAGUGGAAUUCCUAGUGUAGCGGUGAAAUGCGUAGAUAUUAGGAGGAACACCAGUGGCGAAGGCGGCUUACUGGACUGUAACUGACGUUGAGGCUCGAAAGCGUGGGGAGCAAACAGGAUUAGAUACCCCAGUAA
rnacentral:rRNA from 1 species